AUACGGAGGAUCCGAGCGUUAUCCGGAUUUAUUGGGUUUAAAGGGUGCGCAGGCGGCCAUUUAAGUCAGCGGUUAAAUCGUGGGGCUCAACCCCAUUCUGCCGUUGAUACUGGGUGGCUUGAUUGCGGUCGAGGUUGGCGGAAUUCGUUGUGUAGCGGUGAAAUGCAUAGAUAUGACGAAGAACACCGAUUGCGUAGGCAGCUGACCAGACCGCAAAUGACGCUCAUGCACGAAAGUGCGGGGAUCGAACAGGAUUAGAUACCCUGGUAGUCCGCACAGUAAACGAUGAAUACUUGUUUUCGGCGAUAUAAUGUCGGAGGCAAAGCGAAAGCGAUAAGUAUUCCACCUGGGGAGUACGCCGGCAAUGGUGAAA
rnacentral:rRNA from 1 species